CCCUUAGAUGUUCUGGGCCGCACGCGUGCUACACUGAGUGGAUCAGCGGGUCAGGUUGCGCGAAAGCGUUUCCUAAUCUUGAAAUCCGCUCGUGAUGGGGAUUGACGGUUGCAAUUUUCUGUCAUGAACGAGGAAUACCUUGUAAGCGCGGGUCAUCAUCCCGCGCUGAAUACGUCCCUGCCCUUUGUACACACCGCCCGUCGCUCCUACCGAUUGAGUGGUCCGGUGAGGCUUUGGGAUCUGAGCGGAAAGAGCGUUUCGCUCGUUCUGCCCGGAAAACUCAGUCGAACCUUAUCAUUUAGAGGAAGGAGAAGUCGUAAC
rnacentral:rRNA from 1 species